CUGGGACUUGGAGUCCAGUCCCUGGGGGUCCCGCGGGGAUGGCUCUGGGCACCCGAAGCCCCUCCCCAGCGCCGAGACAGGAGGGCUGGGGUAGAUUCGAGACCCCGGUUUGCAGAGCGCAAGACUGAGGCCCAGGGCCGCGCAGUCAGGCAGGAAACGGCGCUCCUGGCGGAUGGAACAGCACGGGCAAAGGCUGGGUAUGGGGGGUCUCGCUCCGUUGCCCACACUGGAGUGCAGUGGCGCAAUCAUGGCUGACUGCAGACUUGAACUCCUGGAUGCAAGCCAUUCUCCUGCCUCAGCCUCCCGAGGAGCUGGGACUACAGGUGUGUGCCAGCACAUGUGGCUAAUUAUUAAAAAUUUUUUUGGCUGGG
rnacentral:lncRNA from 10 species